rnacentral:rRNA from 1 species
UACGUAGGGUGCGAGCGUUACUCGGAAUUACUGGGCGUAAAGCGUGCGCAGGCGGUCCGUUAAGACAGAUGUGAAAUCCCCGGGCUUAACCUGGGAACUGCGUUUCUAACUGGCAGGCUUGAGUGUGGCAGAGGGGGGUGGAAUUCCACGUGUAGCAGUGAAAUGCGUAGAGAUGUGGAGGAACACCGAUGGCGAAGGCAGCCCCCUGGGCUAACACUGACGCUCAUGCACGAAAGCGUGGGGAGCAAACAGG